CGCACAUUGCGCCCCUUGGUAUUCCAUGGGGCAUGCCUGUUCGAGCGUCAUUUGAACCCUCAAGCUUUGCUUGGUGUUGGGCGUUGUCUAUAAAGACUCGCCUCAAAUACAUUGGCAGCAGAUUAUCAGUAGUUCAGCGCAGCACAUUGCGUUUCUCCUAGUAGUCUACGUCCAUCAAGUUACCCAUCUUUUGACCUCGGAUCAGGUAGGGAUACCCGCUGAACUUAA
rnacentral:misc_RNA from 1 species